GACGAACGCUGGCGGCGUGCCUAAUACAUGCAAGUCGAGCGGACUUUCAGUAGUGCUUUCACUCCGCGAGGUUCGCGGCGCGCGGGUGAGUAACACGUAUGCAACCUGCCCAUAAGACCGGGAUUAACUUCGGGAACGAAUGCUAAUUCCGGAUAGCCGGACUUCUCUCAUGGGGGGGUCUGUAAAGACGGAGCAAGCUUGCGCUUGUGGAUGUGCCUGCGGCGCAUUAGCUGGUUGGUGGGGUAACGGCCUACCAAUGCGACGAUGCGUAGCCGACCUGAGAGGGUGAUCGGCCACACUGGAACUGAGACACGGCCCAGACUCCUACGGGAGGCAGCAGUAGGGAAUAUUCGGCAAAGGACGCAAGUCUGACGGAGCAACGCCGCGUGAGUGAGGAAGGCCUUCGGGUCGUAAAGCUCUGUUGCCAGGGAAGAACGGGUAGGGGAGUAACUGCCCUUGCCAUGACGGUACCUGAGAAGAAAGCCCCGGCUAACUACGUG
rnacentral:rRNA from 1 species